UCAGACGAUGCGUCAUGCAUAUCAAUAAGCGGAGGAAAAGAAACUAACAAGGAUUCCCUUAGUAACGGCGAGUGAAGCGGGAAGAGCUCAAAUUUGAAAUCUUCAAGGUUUUACCUUGACGAAUUGUAGUUUAAAGAAGUGUUUUCUGCUGAAGUUUUGGUAAAAGUUCUUUGGAAUAGGACAUCAUAGAGGGUGAGAAUCCCGUAUUUGACCAUUAUUUUCAGCUUUGUGAUACACUUUCAAAGAGUCGGAUUGUUUGGGAAUGCAGUCCAAAAUGGGUGGUAAAUUUCAUCUAAAGCUAAAUAUUGGCGAGAGACCGAUAGCGAACAAGUACCGUGAGGGAAAGAUGAAAAGAACUUUGAAAAGAGAGUUAAACAGUACGUGAAAUUGUCAAAAGGGAAGCGUUUGACACCAGUGUUGUUUUCUCGAAAAUCAAUUAAAAAUGGCUCGAUUUUGUAUUGCUUGAGACCUUAAAAGCUCACUGUACAUUUUUCGUGUCUUUUUUAAUGCACUUUUCGUUUAACAAGUUAACAUCAGUUUCUUUUGUUGUAAAAGGGUCAUUGGAAGGUGGCUUUCUUUUCGGAGAAAGUGUUUAUAGCCUUUGGCCUCUGCAAUCGGAGAGACUGAGGUCUGCAGCGUAGACUCUUCGGGGUUAGAUACAUUUGUGCUAAGUUAUAGCUUUUUUAUAGACAACUUGUUGACUAUAAUUAGUCUUGUAGCUUACUCGCUUAUGCUAUUUUACCUACGCUUAGGAUGUUGACGAUCAGCUGAGCGCG
rnacentral:rRNA from 1 species